CGAAUGGAUUAAGAGCUUGCUCUUAUGAAGUUAGCGGCGGACGGGUGAGUAACACGUGGGUAACCUGCCCAUAAGACUGGGAUAACUCCGGGAAACCGGGGCUAAUACCGGAUAACAUUUUGAACCGCAGGGUUCGAAAUUGAAAGGCGGCUUCGGCUGUCACUUAUGGAUGGACCCGCGUCGCAUUAGCUAGUUGGUGAGGUAACGGCUCACCAAGGCAACGAUGCGUACCCAACCUGAGAGGGUGAUCGGCCACACUGGGACUGAGACACGGCCCAAACUCCUACGGGAGGCAGCAGUAGGGAAUCUUCCGCAAUGGACGAAAGUCUGACGGAGCAACGCCGCGUGAGUGAUGAAGGCUUUCGGGUCGUAAAACUCUUUUGUUAGGGAAGAACAAGUGCUAGUUGAAUAAGCUGGCACCUUGACGGUACCUAACCAAAAAGCCACGGCUAACUACGUGCCAGCAGCCGCGGUAAUACGUAGGUGGCAAGCGUUAUCCGGAAUUAUUGGGCGUAAAGCGCGCGCAGGUGGUUUCUUAAGUCUGAUGUGAAAGCCCACGGCUCAACCGUGGAGGGUCAUUGGAAACUGGGAGACUUGAGUGCAGAAGAGGAAAGUGGAAUUCCAUGUGUAGCGGUGAAAUGCGUAGAGAUAUGGAGGAACACCAGUGGCGAACGCGACUUUCUGGUCUGUAACUGACACUGAGGCGCGAAAGCGUGGGGAGCAAACAGGAUUAGAUACCCUGGUAGUCCACGCCGUAAACGAUGAGUGCUAAGUGUUAAGAGGGUUUCCGCCCUUUAGUGCUGAGUUAACGCAUUAAGCACUCCGCCUGGGAGAGUACGGCCGCAAGGCUGAAACUCAAAGGAAUUGACGGCGG
rnacentral:rRNA from 1 species